GUUAGCUUUUGAAAUGUAGCUCCUCUUCCUGUGUGUCUGUAGAGCCUGAGCCUGUGAAGGAGCUGCCCUGCCUCAGCCCGCCCAGAGUGGACGACGAGUGGUCCGGACUCAAUGGUGGAUCAGUGGACCCCAGCUCUGAUUGGAACGCCCCCGCUGAAGUCUGGGGCAACUAUGAGGAGGAAACUCCUGAGCCCCCUCCCAUUGUGGAGCAGCCGCUACCGGAGCCCUCCAAGGUGGACCUGCUGAUGGCAGCAGCUGACGAUGCUGAAGAUGAGAAGGACAAGGGAGAGACUGCUGGUGAUGGAGCUGCUAAAACUAAGAAGAA